rnacentral:rRNA from 1 species
ACGCUCGACACCUACGGGGGCAGCAGUGGGGAAUAUUGCACAAUGGGGGAAACCCUGAUGCAGCGACGCCGCGUGAGCGAAGAAGUAUUUCGGUAUGUAAAGCUCUAUCAGCAGGAAAGAAGAAAGACGGUACCUGACUAAGAAGCCCCGGCUAACUACGUGCCUGCAGCCGUGGUAAUCUGAGCGGGCUGGCAAGGC